AGCUAUUUAUAGUGUGACGGAAGUGGGAUAUCGAAAAUGGGUUUUUCCACAAACCAGUUACAUGAAAGUGACUUUUUUAAUGACAACAAAACGACGUAUUUAAUAUCAACGGGGGAUAUUUAAUAUACCAACUUUAUUGGUUUCUACUAAAUCAAGCAUGGACAUUUUCAAGAUACACUGAUUAUUGCAUUCUGUUGAUAAGAAGUACUGCCAGACAGCCACAUCCGCGAAUCGUAUUGGACCAUAAAGACCACUUACCAACACAGAAAUAGCAUAUCGCGUUAAUUAGGAACUAAUAUGCAUAAAUAUAAAUUCAAUGACGUCACAAACGUUCAAUACACGUUAUCUCACAUGUAGCUACAUUAAGACAUCAACUGCGCUUUUGUUUCAAGUCCACCCCAACAGAAUUUUGUUUUUGUGUAAUUGCGCCUAUUUGUGUAAUUGCGCCUAUUUGCAGCAAAUGGUGUGUAGUCAAGUUCAUCAGGUCUGUCAUUGAGUGUGUUUGUAGGGCCGCCUGACUAACCUUGCCAGGGUUUUCCGUUUUACGCCUACAUCUUAAGAGGCGAUGCGUGCACAUCGUGUGAAGUUAAGACCAUUAGGUUUUUCAUUGAGUGUGUUGGUUUCGAUACCAGACUUAUACGUGACCAUUGGUAGGAUCGCCUGCCUAUCUAAAGAGCCGAUGCGUCAAGCGAAUUAUUGAGAUAAAGUUAUACACUGUAUUAAUCCCAAAAUAAAUUAGUAAGUGGUGAGAGGACCCCACCCCCUGCACACAACAAAAUGGCCGAAUGUACCAAUGAAAACGCCGAGGAAGAGUGUAGUAUUUGUUUAUCCGGUUUUAAACAGCCUAAGUCAAUUGACUGUCAACAUAAAUUCUGUUUUAAAUGCCUGGAGGACCACGUUACAAAAUCGGCAAAGAAGAAUUUAUUUGAUUGUCCACUGUGUAGACGAAGAACCAAAGUUCCGGACGGGGGUGUUAAGGAAUUUAAAUCGACUAAAACAGACACGAAUGAUAAUUGUACACGGGCUGAACAGAACAGUAGUGGGGCUUCGAAUAAAACGGUUCCUGUCCGCUCGGUUAAGGCCCUACAGGUAAUGGGAAACAUUCCCAGGCCCAUUAGCAGCGACAUCUCUAAUAUUAGUCAAGGUGCAACAUCAUUAAUUAAUAUUGCCAAUUCUCCAGUGAAUACAAUCAACAAUAAAGAUGGACCAAUUGUUAAAGCUAUUUUUAAUUUAAAUGAUAUUUUUAUGAAUGAGAGGUGUGAAGGCCCACGAAUCAACGUUAACGGAUUCCAGUGGUACAUCGAAGUGGAACAACGCAGUGUUAAAGACAACCCAGUUAUAUAUAUCCAGUUGUUUUUAGAAAAUGCUUUAAAACCACCGUAUAAGUCCACCAAAGGGUCGUGUUCUUACAUCUUUAAACUAGAUAACCGUCUGGAUGAUCGUAAUUCAAUCGUCAAACAACGUGAACUGAAAUUUCCAAUCUUACAAAUCAGCAGAAUUCGUGGAGAGAAGGUGGAGUGGAACUUGUUAAAAGAUCCUCACAACGGAUUCCUGGACAGCGAACAUAACUUCACUAUACAAUAUAAGAUUAUAAUUAUAGAUAUAUAGGACACGGUUUAUAGGAAGGGAUGGGGGCCCAGUGGUGUAACGCAUACGCUUUAGAUAAUAAGGUCGCCUUCCCAAACCCUCCGGGUUCUCCACCCCCCCCCCCCAAAAUUCUGAAGACACCUACAUGCACGCGAAUAACUGAAUAUACAUAUAAUUAUACCAUAUGGCAGUCUCGAAAUUACCUGGUUUGACGUUACCCCCCCCCCCCCCCCUUCUCUCUUUGUCACCUAGAAGUGGAUCGCAACGCAUAUAAUAAUGUAAUAUGAAUGUAUAUUAAAUGAUUUAUAUUCAA